rnacentral:tRNA from 2 species
GCCGAGGUGGUGAAACGGUAUACACGCUAUCCUCAGACGAUAGUGAGCGUAAGCUCGUGGAGGUUCAAAUCCUCUCCUCGGCA